rnacentral:lncRNA from 1 species
AAAGACUGGACCGGCAGUCAGCCUGAUUUGUUGGGGACAGCCAGUUUCCCAUCUGCCGCACAGAAAAGGUCAAAGGGAGUAGCCUCUGGUCCUUUUGUUAUUUAGCAUACAAAGCUAGGCUUCUCCUUUCAGUUUAGUUCUAGGAAGUCGUCGUGAAACAGCCUUAGGUCCUCUGCCUCCAGACCCUAUUCUCCUGCCUCGGAAGGACUGUUCCCACACCAUCUUGAUAGGUUUUCACCUUCAUUCCUGCAGAAGCUGCCCUGGAUGAAGUAAACACUAGCAGCACCCAGUUCUCAAGCUCCAUGAAGACCACACCUGGGCCCGUUCUGCUCCUACAAGCUCUGACCAGUAAAAUGGCACCUUCCAGUACCCCAGGCUCAGAUGGGAUGCUGGUGUCCAGGGAGAGACGCAAACAAAUGCCAUUUCCUCAGGAGCCAAGAAUGAGGUGCUCUUUUCAAAUUUUCUGUGCUCCACAGAGCUGUGCUUAGAUGCUUCAUGCUGCUUCGAAGUUCUGAGGCAAGAUCCUAAGAUCCUGCAACCUCACAAGCUCACUUACAAAGCAUUACUGUAAUGCAUCCCAGCAAGAAGCUCUGUUUCACUGUAGCUUGGAGCACAAGAUUGCCUUGUAAAUAGGAAACGAUGAUGGAUGGAAGACAGCAGAGGCUUGUGGAAUUUUAACCCUGAUGGUAAGGCUGCCGCUAAGAAUAACCCUGCUGUGCUUCAGGCCAGGGAGGCUGAGCAGAAAACCCUCUUUUCUCAUUGCCCCACCUGCCUCUUCUGGACGCAAUCAGCCAAGGAGUGAACAGUCUUGUGGAUCCCUUGUCUGCAUAGCCUCAGAGCACUCUUGAGCCUGCGUUUUCAUCAUUCCCAGGCCUCCUGGAUGAAACUGAGCAGCCCUUGAUGCCUGCAGACAGUCUCCACUGAGCUUUCCUAGUUUAUCUUUAAGUCCUGUCCCAAGAGGUUUGUCAGUCUCUGUCAAAUAAGACAUGUUGCUCACACUGAGACCUUGUUCUUAUCCAGGCACAAAUAAACUGCUAUUUUCCAUGAUGCUUGGACUUCACUCUUGUUAACUUAUUAAGGCCCUAAGGGCCCAGAGGGACAAGUUCUAUUGUCAUCUGCAUUUAGUGAACGGAGUGUGUGGAUGUCACACGGCAGAGCCAAGACCCAUCACAUCUUCAGGCUACAUCACCCUGCUCACCGCAUGGCUCAUGGCAGGUGGCAGGUGAGGGUGACAGUGGAGGCACACUUUCCCUAGGAUGCUGUUACAGAGCUCAGGGGAUGUGGAAAGGCAUCACUUUGGAAGUGUUCCCCACACAUUAAAGUUACCUAUUCCUGAAGAUCCUUACAAAUGUUCAACCACUUUGGAGGGAUGUAUGCAUUGCCUCUUAUAAAGUAGGUUUUUAAAUUUGUCCUAAAUCCCCUUCCUCUCAAACGUGUUCUCAUUAGAGAACUCCAGGAUUUCAGCAGACAUAUCCACAUGCUCGUUUUCAAGGUCCUUCAUGAUAUCAGAGACCUGGAGCCAUAACCACUGACUGUUACCAGCCACACCCGUCUCAUCUGCAGCCUCUCCAGAAGCAAGGAAGCCAAGCUUCACCUGCCUGUGUGCUGAAGCUGCCUUUACCCUUCUUGAUUUGUGUUCUAGUGUUUUAUUCACAAAGUCUUUUCCUACCAAGGAUCUUUUUAAAAAUGUAUAUUUUCUUUUUAAAAAGUUUUGCUUCACAUAAUGAGAAAUGCCCCUGGAAGUUUUUCUAGCCAAUGUGAGUUCGGUAUGUAAUUUUAUUGUUUUUCAUUUGGAAAGCAAAUUGUCCUAGCUCUAUUGUUUGGCUACUCCAACUUUUUUCCCACUUCCCUGCUAGUUUUUAAUGGUCACUCUUUCAUAUAAUCACUUAUUUAUUUAAUCUAUUGGAUGCCUCUAGUAUGCCAGGCGCUGUUGUAAGUGCUGCUGAUAUGACACAAAGGCAGAAAACAGCCCUGCCCUCGUGGAGCGCAGAUUUUAGUGGACCUGGAGGAUUUUCCAGGCAGAGAAAAUACCAAGUACAGGGACAAGAAGCAGAAGUUCUGUGUGUUUGAGACACACUUGAGAAGGCAGUGUGUUGGGAAAAUAAAUAAGGUAGGAAAAGGAUAGAAGACAAGAUCAGAAAGGUAGCACCUAGAGCCCAAGCUAAAAAUUUCGGGAUGCAUUUAAGUGUGAUGAAAAUCCACCAAGAGUGAAAUCAGCGAGGCCGAUAAGAAAGCUCUUCACACAGUUUAGACAGCAGACAAUGGUGGCGGCUUAGACGCAUGUGCAAUGUAUGUAGUGCCCUAGGAAGAGUGACUGGAUUUUAGAUAUCACUUGAAGGUCAAGCUGAUGAAUUUGUGUAUAGUCAGAGGGAAAGGGAGAAGGUUUUUUUUUUUAUUGGAGUAAUUAUGUAAAAUAGUGGUGUCGUUUUAUUGAAAUAGAAAUCCUGCAGAAGCAGGUUCAAGGGCAGGAGUAGAAAGUGAAGACAAGAGUUCCAUUUCUAAAAUGUAAGCUUUACACACUUGUUAGACAUGGAGAUGUCUUGCAGACAGUUAGGAAUGCAUUCCAGGAGCUCAGGAGUUAGGGUUGUGGAUAUAAAUGUGGUUGUCUUUAGCACAUAGCUGAGAACUAAAGCCAUAGCAUGAGAUGAGGUCACCCAGCACAUGAGUAUAAUUAGAGAAGGUGGAUUUGUAUUGGCUUUUUUUUUUUUUUUUUUUGUAGACUGCAGUGGGAAAGUCAUUGGCCCCUUUCUAGACUUAAUUCUGUUUCAUUAAUCUACUGUUUAUCCAUGUGCUAAAAAACACAUUGAUUUAUUUAUUGUAACUUUAUCACGUCUUAAUUUCCAUAGGGUUUGCCCACCCAUAAUGUUUGUAUGCUGAUAAGAAAAAGCCAAUCAAAAGAGAGAAUUUGAUAAUGAAGAUCAAUAGUUGCAGGAUUAAAGUCCAUGAGUAGAUGAGAGAUGAUGAGACCCCCUGCCUUUGCCAGUGUAAAGAGUGACUCUAGAUAAGGAAGGUACUCAUUCCUGUAAUAGAUAAGAAAGAAAAAUGCUUGAGUCUGUAUUUCUGUUAUAUCCCAUUGAUCUAUUUUGACAGAAAUUACACUGAAUUUAUAAAUUAAUUCAAAACAAAUUGACAUGACAUUAUGCUUGUUUUUCCAUGAAUAAGGUUUACCUUUACUUUCUCUUUUUCUUAUCUUAUUGCAUUGGCUAGAAAUGUCAAUGUCUUUUUUGGGGCUUUAUUGAGGGUAUUUGGUGGGGAUAUGCUCAGUAAGUUUAACAUUUGUUAUAGAUUUCAGGUUAGGAAAAUUGCUUCUAUUCUUGGUUUGCUAA